rnacentral:rRNA from 1 species
UACGUAGGGUGCGAGCGUUAAUCGGAAUUACCGGGCGUAAAGCGUGCGCAGGCGGCGGCUCAAGUCAGGUGUGAAAUCCCCGGGCUUAACCUGGGAAUUGCGCUUGAAACUAGGUCGCUAGAGUGUGGCAGAGGGGGGUAGAAUUCCACGUGUAGCAGUGAAAUGCGUAGAGAUGUGGAGGAACACCGAUGGCGAAGGCAGCCCCCUGGGUCAACACUGACGCUCAUGCACGAAAGCGUGGGGGGCAAACAGG